rnacentral:lncRNA from 1 species
UGAGUUUAAAGGUUGUAGAUCAAAUGCUCAAGCUGGGUUGGGAAGGUGAUGGUUUGAGCCCCCUCAUUAAGUGAAAGUUUCUAAAAAGGAAGGAUUUGAUUGGAAUGGAUUCUGAAAGACAGUUCAAUAUACUGCGUAAGAUGGAUUUCUUUGUAGAUGUAACAUAUUAGCCUUCAACGACGAGGUAAAGACAUCAAAUUUUUUUUAGAUCUCAUAUUACACGAGUGCAAUGCCCAGCUAUUCUGUUGGUUUUGACUCAAACCAGUUGCAAGUUUUGUGUUGUGACCUGACAUUAUGAUUUCUCCCGCCGUCUGUAUAUUUUUUUGUCCAUUUUCUGAUGUUAUGAUGUAUAAUUUUUUCUACAUCUUAGGCAACUGGAAGUUGCAUUUCUUUUUGUUUAUGUUUUGCUCACAAUAUCAUGUUAUUAUGCAAAUUAUAUGAUUUUUUGUCCUUGCUUGAAGAAGUUGUUCCUACUUGUACCAUUUAUCCCCCUUUCCAGCAUCUCUCACUAAAGACUGCCUUUUCUGCAGUAUGAAGUGCCGGUUCGGAUAUACAUUACUUGCUAAGUUCAGUCAUCAGUAUUUUUAAACCUCUCAACUUGUACAUGGAUGAAACUAUUAGCUUAGUGGUAGACUAUACUCAAUGUGUUUAUCGGUACCUAACCACAGGACGUGUAUCAUUGAAGAUUAGUUGCAUUAACAUGAAAUGACUGAAAACUUGCCUCUCUUCGUUGGCUGGGUGCUUUUUUUCCUUGUCACACCUUUUUGCAGUCCAAAAAAAUGAUAUGAGAGUUGCUUUUCAUUUGUUUUCUUGCAACUAUAGGCUUUGGUUUGGUCCUGUUUAUUAAAA